GACGAACGCUGGCGGCGUGCCUAACACAUGCAAGUCGAACGGGACCAGGGGCAACUCUGGUUCAGUGGCGGACGGGUGCGUAACACGUGAGGAACAUGACCUUCGGCGGGGGAGUAGCCGGCCCAACCGGCCGGGUAACGUACCGCGUACGACCAUUGGGGACGAUCCCGACGUGGUGAAAGACAGCAAUGCGCCGAUGGAGUGCCUCGCGGCCUAUCAGCUAGUUGGUGAGGUAACGGCUCACCAAGGCGACGACGGUAGCUGGUCUGAGAGGAUGGCCAGCCACAUUGGGACUGAGACACGGCCCAGACUCCUACGGGAGGCAGCAGUGGGGAAUAUUGCGCAAUGGACGAAAGUCUGACGCAGCGACGCCGCGUGUGGGAUGACGGUC
rnacentral:rRNA from 1 species